rnacentral:rRNA from 1 species
UGAGGAAUAUUGCGCAAUGGGGGCAACCCUGACGCAGCGACGCCGCGUGGAUGAUGAAGGCCUUCGGGUCGUAAAAUCCUGUCAGAUGGGAAGAAGUGCUAUAUGGUUAAUAUCUGUA